CAGCCGCGGUAAUUCCAGCUCCAAUAGCGUAUAUUAAAGUUGUUGCGGUUAAAAAGCUCGUAGUCGGAUGUCGGGCUCGGGCAGGCUGUCGGCCUCUGGUCGGAUGGCAGGCUCGGGUCUUCUUGCCUGGGGGCACCGUCACACUUAACUGUGGGGCGGCUGGUCGCAGGCCGUUUACUUUGAAAAAAUUAGAGUGUUCAAAGCAGGCCUACGCUUGAAUACAUUAGCAUGGAAUAAUGGAAUAGGACUUUGGUGCUAUUUUGUUGGUUUAUGGUACCGAAGUAAUGAUUAAUAGGGACAGUUGGGGCCGUUUAUAUUUCGUUGUCAGAGGUGAAAUUCUUGGAUUUACGAAAGAUAAACUUCUGCGAAAGCAUUCGGCAAGGAUGUUUUCAUUGAUCAAGAACGAAAGUUAGGGGAUCGAAGACGAUCAGAUACCGUCGUAGUCUUAACCAUAAACUAUGCCGACUAGGGAUCAGUGGAUGUCAAUUUGCGACUCCAUUGGCACCUUGUGAGAAAUCAAAGUUUUUGGGUUCCGGGGGGAGUAUGGUCGCAAGGCUGAAACUUAAAGGAAUUGACGGAAGGGCACCACCAGGAGUGGAGCCUGCGGCUUAAUUUGACUCAACACGGGGAAACUUACCAGGUCCAGACAUAGUAAGGAUUGACAGAUUGAAAGCUCUUUCUUGAUUCUAUGGGCGGUGGUGCAUGGCCGUUCUUAGUUGGUGGAGUGAUUUGUCUGGUUAAUUCCGUUAACGAACGAGACCUCAGCCUGCUAACUAGUAGCGCGAAUAUGAUUGGCGUCUACUUCUUAGAGGGACUAUUUGUGUUUAAUGAAUGGAAGUUUGAGGCAAUAACAGGUCUGUGAUGCCCA
rnacentral:rRNA from 1 species